UUUUCUCAGUACUCCAUAUCAUCUUAUCACUUGUGCACAUCAUUGAAGCAGUUUCUCCCCAUUUUGAACAAAUAGCAAUGCUUUCUUUUGAGCAAGAUCAACCCUUCUGA